rnacentral:rRNA from 1 species
AGAGUUUGAUCCUGGCUCAGAUUGAACGCUGGCGGAAUGCUUUACACAUGCAAGUCGAACGGCAGCACGGGAGCUUGCUCCUGGUGGCGAGUGGCGAACGGGUGAGUAAUACAUAGGAACAUACCCAGUAAUGGGGGAUAACGCCGAGAAAUCGGUGCUAAUACCGCAUACGCCCUACGGGGGAAAGCGGGGGAUCUUCGGACCUCGCGUUAUUGGAUUGGCCUAUGUCUGAUUAGCUAGUUGGUGAGGUAAAGGCUCACCAAGGCGACGAUCAGUAGCUGGUCUGAGAGGAUGAUCAGCCACACUGGAACUGAGACACGGUCCAGACUCCUACGGGAGGCAGCAGUGGGGAAUUUUGGACAAUGGGCGAAAGCCUGAUCCAGCCAUUCCGCGUGAGUGAAGAAGGCCUUCGGG